GGUUAAGUGACUAAGCGUACACGGUGGAUGCCUUGGCAAUCAGAGGCGAAGAAGGACGUGCUAAUCUGCGAAAAGCUUGGGAGAGUUGAUAAGAAACGCUAUCAUCCCAAGAUAUCCGAAUGGGGAAACCCAAUAGGUGAAGAACCUAUUAUCAAAUGGUGAAUACAUAGCCAUUUGAAGCGAACCGGGAGAACUGAAACAUCUAAGUACCCCGAGGAAAAGAAAUCAACCGAGAUUCUGUGAGUAGCGGCGAGCGAAAGCGGAAGAGCCAGUUAGUUUUAGCAGUAGUAUUAAGAGAAUGAGUUGGGAAACUCAAUCAAAGAGGGUGAUAAUCCCGUAUCUGAAAAUACAAUUGUGGAACUAAGCUAACGAUAAGUAGGGCGGGACACGUGAUAUCCUGUUUGAAGAUGGGGGGACCAUCCUCCAAGGCUAAAUACUCCUGAUUGACCGAUAGUGAACGAGUACUGUGAAGGAAAGGUAAAAAGAACCCCUGCGAGGGGAGUGAAAUAGAACCUGAAACCGUGUACGUACAAGCAGUAGGAGCCCCAUCACUCAAACAUAUUGAGUGGUGAGGAUGAUUCAGCACACAAAAGUAGUUAACCACUUAUGAAUGAAAUGAAUAAGUGGGUCAACCGCUAAAUAAACAGUGUGAUUGAGUGAUGGGGUGACUGCGUACCUUUUGUAUAAUGGGUCAGCGACUUAUAUUUUGUAGCAAGGUUAACCGAAUAGGGGAGCCGUAGGGAAACCGAGUCUUAACUGGGCGUUUAGUUGCAAGGUAUAGACCCGAAACC
rnacentral:rRNA from 1 species